rnacentral:rRNA from 1 species
UGGGGAAUUUUGGACAAUGGGGGAAACCCUGAUCCAGCCAUCCCGCGUGUGCGAUGAAGGCCUUCGGGUUGUAAAGCACUUUUGGCAGGAAAGAAACGUCGCGGGUUAAUACCCCGCGAAACUGACGGUACCUGCAGAAUAAGCACCGGCUAACUACGUGCCAGCAGCCGCGGUAAUACGUAGGGUGCAAGCGUUAAUCGGAAUUACUGGGCGUAAAGCGUGCGCAGGCGGUUCGGAAAGAAAGAUGUGAAAUCCCAGAGCUUAACUUUGGAACUGCAUUUUUAACUACCGGGCUAGAGUGUGUCAGAGGGAGGUGGAAUUCCGCGUGUAGCAGUGAAAUGCGUAGAUAUGCGGAGGAACACCGAUGGCGAAGGCAGCCUCCUGGGAUAACACUGACGCUCAUGCACGAAAGCGUGGGGAGCAAACAGGAUUAGAUACCCUGGUAGUCCACGCCCUAAACGAUGCCAACUAGCUGUUGGGGCCUUCGGGCCUUGGUAGCGCAGCUAACGCGUGAAGUUGACCGCCUGGGGAGUACGG